rnacentral:rRNA from 1 species
AUCAAUAAGCGGAGGAAAAGAAACCAACAGGGAUUGCCUCAGUAGCGGCGAGUGAAGCGGCAAGAGCUCAGAUUUGAAAUCGUGCUUUGCGGCACGAGUUGUAGAUUGCAGGUUGGAGUCUGUGUGGAAGGCGGUGUCCAAGUCCCUUGGAACAGGGCGCCCAGGAGGGUGAGAGCCCCGUGGGAUGCCGGCGGAAGCAGUGAGGCCCUUCUGACGAGUCGAGUUGUUUGGGAAUGCAGCUCCAAGCGGGUGGUAAAUUCCAUCUAAGGCUAAAUACUGGCGAGAGACCGAUAGCGAACAAGUACUGUGAAGGAAAGAUGAAAAGCACUUUGAAAAGAGAGUGAAACAGCACGUGAAAUUGUUGAAAGGGAAGGGUAUUGCGCCCGACAUGGGGAUUGCGCACCGCUGCCUCUCGUGGGCGGCGCUCUGGGCUUUCCCUGGGCCAGCAUCGGUUCUUGCUGCAGGAGAAGGGGUUCUGGAACGUGGCUCUUCGGAGUGUUAUAGCCAGGGCCAGAUGCUGCGUGCGGGGACCGAGGACUGCGGCCGUGUAGGUCACGGAUGCUGGCAGAACGGCGCAACACCGCCCGUCUUGAAACACGGACCA